AAGAAAAGGUCAGGAUAGCUCAGU
rnacentral:tRNA from 1 species